ACUCCUACGGGAGGCAGCAGUGGGGAAUAUUGCACAAUGGGCGCAAGCCUGAUGCAGCCAUGCCGCGUGUGUGAAGAAGGCCUUCGGGUUGUAAAGCACUUUCAGUCGUGAGGAAGGGUAGGUUGUAAGUUAACGACCUGCUAUUAUUUGACGUUACCUACAGAAGAAGCACCGGCUAACUCCGUGCCAGCAGCCGCGGUAAUACGGAGGGUGCGAGCGUUAAUCGGAAUUACUGGGCGUAAAGCGCAUGCAGGCGGCCUGUUAAGUCAGAUGUGAAAGCCCGGGGCUUAACCUCGGAAUUGCAUUUGAAACUGGCAGGCUAGAGUCUUGUAGAGGGGGGUAGAAUUUCAGGUGUAGCGGUGAAAUGCGUAGAGAUCUGAAGGAAUACCAGUGGCGAAGGCGGCCCCCUGGACAAAGACUGACGCUCAGAUGCGAAAGCGUGGGGAGCAAACAGGAUU
rnacentral:rRNA from 1 species